rnacentral:rRNA from 1 species
AGAGUUUGAUCCUGGCUCAGGAUGAACGCUGGCGGCGUGCUUAACACAUGCAAGUCGAACGAUUAAAGCCCCUUCGGGGGUGUAUAGAGUGGCGAACGGGUGAGUAACACGUGGGCAAUCUGCCCCUCACUUCGGGAUAACUCAGAGAAAUUUGAGCUAAUACCGAAUACUCCGGUCGGACCGCAUGGUCUGAUCGGGAAAGCUCCGACGGUGAGGGAUGAGCCCGCGGCCCAUUAGCUAGUUGGUGGGGUAAAGGCCUACCAAGGCGACGAUGGUUAGCUGGUCUGAGAGGAUGAUCAGCCACACUGGAACUGAGACACGGUCCAGACUCCUACGGGAGGCAGCAGUGGGGAAUUUUGCGCGAUGGGGGAAACCCUGACGCAGCAACGCCGCGUGAGUGAUGAAGGCCCUUGGGUCGUAAAGCUCUGACAGAGGGAAAGAAGUGUAUGGCGGUUAAUACCCGUUGUACUUGACGGUACCCUCAAAGGAAGCACCGGCUAACUCCGUGCCAGCAGCCGCGGUAAUACGGAGGGUGCAAGCGUUGUUCGGAUUUAUUGGGCGUAAAGCGCGUGUAGGCGGUUUUUUAAGUCUGAUGUGAAAGCCCCGGGCUCAACCUGGGAAGUGCAUUGGAUACUGGAAGACUUGAAUACGGGAGAGGGAAGUGGAAUUCCUGGUGUAGGAGUGAAAUCCGUAGAUAUCAGGAGGAACACCGGUGGCGAAGGCGGCUUCCUGGACCGAUAUUGACGCUGAGACGCGAAAGCGUGGGUAGCAAACAGGAUUAGAUACCCUGGUAGUCCACG